CCUACGGGUGGCAGCAGUGGGGAAUAUUGGGCAAUGGGCGCAAGCCUGACCCAGCGACGCCGCGUGAGUGAAGAAGUCUUUCGGUUUGUAAAGCUCUUUCAUCAGGGACGAAACAAAUGCCGGUACCUGACGAAUAAGCCCCGGCUAACUACGUGCCAGCAGCCGCGGUAAUACGUAGGGGGCAAGCGUUAUCCGGAUUUACUGGGUGUAAAGGGCGCGUAGGCGGCGAGGCAAGUAGGAAGUGAAAGGCAGGGGCUCAACCCCUGGACUGCUUUGGAAACUGGAUGGCUGGAGUGCAGGAGAGGUAAGCGGAAUUCCGGGUGUAGCGGUGAAAUGCGUAGAUAGUAGGAGGAACACCAGUGGCGAAGGCGG
rnacentral:rRNA from 1 species